rnacentral:rRNA from 1 species
GAGUAAUGUCUGGGAAACUGCCUGAUGGAGGGGGAUAACUACUGGAAACGGUGGCUAAUACCGCAUAACGUCGCAAGACCAAAGAGGGGGACCUUCGGGCCUCUUGCCAUCAGAUGUGCCCAGAUGGGAUUAGCUUGUUGGUGAGGUAACGGCUCACCAAGGCGACGAUCCCUAGCUGGUCUGAGAGGAUGACCAGCCACACUGGAACUGAGACACGGUCCAGACUCCUACGGGAGGCAGCAGUGGGGAAUAUUGCACAAUGGGCGCAAGCCUGAUGCAGCCAUGCCGCGUGUAUGAAGAAGGCCUUCGGGUUGUAAAGUACUUUCAGCGGGGAGGAAGGUGUUGUGGUUAAUAACCGCAGCA